UACGUAGGGUCCGAGCGUUAAUCGGAAUUACUGGGCGUAAAGCGUGCGCAGGCGGUUAUGUAAGACAGAUGUGAAAUCCCCGGGCUCAACCUGGGAACUGCAUUUGUGACUGCAUGGCUAGAGUACGGUAGAGGGGGGUGGAAUUCCGCGUGUAGCAGUGAAAUGCGUAGAUAUGCGGAGGAACACCGAUGGCGAAGGCAAUCCCCUGGACCUGUACUGACGCUCAUGCACGAAAGCGUGGGGAGCAAACAGG
rnacentral:rRNA from 1 species